GUGAACGCUGGCGGUAGGCCUAACACAUGCAAGUCGAACGGCAGCACAGUAAGAGCUUGCUCUUACGGGUGGCGAGUGGCGGACGGGUGAGGAAUACAUCGGAAUCUACUUUUUCGUGGGGGAUAACGUAGGGAAACUUACGCUAAUACCGCAUACGACCUACGGGUGAAAGCAGGGGAUCUUCGGACCUUGCGCGAUUGAAUGAGCCGAUGUCGGAUUAGCUUGUUGGCGGGGUAAAGGCCCACCAAGGCGACGAUCCGUAGCUGGUCUGAGAGGAUGAUCAGCCACACUGGAACUGAGACACGGUCCAGACUCCUACGGGAGGCAGCAGUGGGGAAUAUUGGACAAUGGGCGCAAGCCUGAUCCAGCCAUACCGCGUGGGUGAAGAAGGCCUUCGGGUUGUAAAGCCCUUUUGUUGGGAAAGAAAAGCAGCAGGUUAAUACCCCGCUGUUCUGACGGUACCCAAAGAAUAAGCACCGGCUAACUUCGUG
rnacentral:rRNA from 1 species